AACGAACGCUGGCGACAUGCCUAACACAUGCAAGUCGAACGAGACCUUCGGGUCUAGUGGCGCACGGGUGCGUAACGCGUGGGAACCUGCCCUUAGGUUCGGAAUAACUCAGAGAAAUUUGAGCUAAUACCGGAUAAUGUCUUCGGACCAAAGAUUUAUCGCCUUUGGAUGGGCCCGCGUAGGAUUAGCUUGUUGGUGGGGUAAUGGCCUACCAAGGCGACGAUCCUUAGCUGGUCUGAGAGGAUGAUCAGCCACACUGGGACUGAGACACGGCCCAGACUCCUACGGGAGGCAGCAGUGGGGAAUAUUGGACAAUGGGCGAAAGCCUGAUCCAGCAAUGCCGCGUGAGUGAUGAAGGCCUUAGGGUUGUAAAGCUCUUUUACCAGGGAUGAUAAUGACAGUACCUGGAGAAUAAGCUCCGGCUAACUCCGUG
rnacentral:rRNA from 1 species